rnacentral:rRNA from 1 species
UUGGAGGGCAAGUCUGGUGCCAGCAGCCGCGGUAAUUCCAGCUCCAAUAGCGUAUAUUAAAGUUGUUGCAGUUAAAAAGCUCGUAGUUGAAUUUCGGGGUCAGUAGGUUGGUCAUGCCACUGGUAUGCACUGGUCUCACUGAUUCCUCCUUCCUGAUGAACCGUAAUGCCAUUAAUUUGGUGUUGCGGGGAAUCUGGACUGUUACUUUGAAAAAAUUAGAGUGUUUAAAGCAGGCUAACGCUUGAAUACAUUAGCAUGGAAUAAUGAAAUAGGACGAUCGAUCCUAUUUUGUUGGUUUCUAGGAUUGACGUAAUGAUUAAUAGGGAUAGUUGGGGGCAUUAGUAUUCAAUUGUCAGAGGUGAAAUUCUUGGAUUUAUUGAAGACUAACUACUGCGAAAGCAUUUGCCAAGGAUGUUUUCAUUAAUCAAGAACGAAAGUUAGGGGAUCGAAGACGAUCAGAUACCGUCGUAGUCUUAACCAUAAACUAUGCCGACUAGGGAUCGGAUGAUGUUAAUUUUUUAAUGACUCAUUCGGCGCCUUACGGGAAA